rnacentral:ncRNA from 1 species
AUAUUAGCUUUGAGUAGGAGUAGUAAUUCAAAGAUUAAAUUUUAGAGAGCUAUGAAUUUGGUGCAACAUAGUAUUUGUCUUUUUAUGAACUUGCCUAGGAGCAAUAUAUGUUAAAAGCAUAUACGUUUUAUCUUCGUUAUCAGAUAAUUAAAGUGAGAAAGACAUUUUAUCUUUCUAAGUAGAGUGGUACCGCGAAAUUAUCCUUUCGUCUCUUCA